UACGUAGGGUGCAAGCGUUGUCCGGAAUUAUUGGGCGUAAAGAGCUCGUAGGCGGUUUGUCGCGUCGAAUGUGAAAUCCCGGGGCUCAACCCCGGGUCUGCAUUCGAUACGGGCAGACUAGAGUUCGGUAGGGGAGUCUGGAAUUCCUGGUGUAGCGGUGAAAUGCGUAGAGAUGUGGAGGAACACCAGUGGCGAAGGCGACUUUUUGGCCUGUAACUGACGCUGAGGCGCGAAAGCGUGGGGAGCAAACAGG
rnacentral:rRNA from 1 species